rnacentral:lncRNA from 1 species
GUGACUUGGGGGUUAAAUGCAGUUUGCAGUUUCAAAAAAGAAAAGCAUGAUUUGUUGAAAGAGGCUCCUGAAGAAGAACAUAUAAACUCAGAUCCCUCUACUUUCCAAGUGUGAGAAGAUUUUGUUCUACAGUCGCUUCUGUGAGAUCACCACAGCCCUGGCAAACCAAGAGGGAGGAACCUUGUGCCUUUGAAGUGUGAUUCACAGUGCUUGAUAAAGUGCCAGUAUUCUCUAAAUUUUAGGUUCACAGCAAAUUGGAUGGAAGUUACAGAAAUUCUUCUAUUUUUAAUUUUAAACUAACAUACGACAAAAGGAUUUCCUGAUUUAUCCACCAUUUCAAAAAAAGGUCCGAAGAAAAUGAAGGAGCCUCUUCCUGUACUCAUGGUACAUAAGGCCUUCAGGAGCUUCCGGAUUAACACCUUGUAUUCCCAGAACUUGUUGACAAUGGGUUCAUGGAGGAGAAACCUGAUGUCUUCGAUAAGGUGUAGUGAUGUACAAAAAAUGAUUCCUGUUGGACAUUCAACACGAUACUCCAAUGUACUUUGAACACGUCAUGUUCUGUGAAGUACUCCUCAAGUUUAUAAAGUAAGGA